rnacentral:lncRNA from 1 species
UCAUUUCUACAGUGAGGAAAGAUAAAAAUUUACAAAAGGUUAAUAAUAAUUAGAUAAAUACAGAUAUAUAUACUUGAAUUUAGUUUACCUUGUGCGCUGGAUUCAUCCACAUAUCACAGAGCUUAUUCCAAUUCGCUGGAGUCAAUUUUGGUGCCUCAAUUUUACGUGCUUCUUUCCCGAGCUUGCACUUGAGAACAGUUUCUUCAGCUUAUAAUGCCACUGCCUGCUUCUAUUCUUUAAUAUAUCCUCACAACUGUCUUUCACAUAAUUCUCAUCCAAAUUUAUUUAAAAUCUCUCCU